rnacentral:rRNA from 1 species
UCAGAACGACUCUCGGCAACGGAUAUCUCGGCUCUCGCAUCGAUGAAGAACGUAGCAAAACGCGAUAUUUGGUGUGAAUUGCAGAAUCMCGUGAAMCAUCGAGUUUUUGAACGCAAGUUGCGCCCGAAGCCAUUAAGGCGAGGGSACGUCUGCAUGGGCGUCAC